rnacentral:rRNA from 1 species
CAUGGCGGCACUAGCGCGGUGGUCCCACCUGACCCCAUGCCGAACUCAGAAGUGAAACGUGGUAUCGACGAGGCUAGUGUGGGGUCUCCCCAUGUGAGAGUAGGGAACUGCCAGGC